AACGAACGCUGGCGGCAUGCCUAACACAUGCAAGUCGAACGAGACCUUCGGGUCUAGUGGCGCACGGGUGCGUAACGCGUGGGAAUCUGCCCUUGGGUUCGGAAUAACAGUUAGAAAUGACUGCUAAUACCGGAUAAUGUCUUCGGACCAAAGAUUUAUCGCCCAGGGAUGAGCCCGCGUAGGAUUAGCUAGUUGGUGAGGUAAAGGCUCACCAAGGCGACGAUCCUUAGCUGGUCUGAGAGGAUGAUCAGCCACACUGGGACUGAGACACGGCCCAGACUCCUACGGGAGGCAGCAGUGGGGAAUAUUGGACAAUGGGCGAAAGGCCUGAUCCAGCAAUGCCGCGUGAGUGAUGAAGGCCUUAGGGUUGUAAAGCUCUUUUACCCGGGAUGAUAAUGACAGUACCGGGAGAAUAAGCCCCGGCUAACUCCGUGCCAGCAGCCGCGGUAAU
rnacentral:rRNA from 1 species